rnacentral:rRNA from 1 species
GACGAACGCUGGCGGCGUGCCUAAUACAUGCAAGUCGAGCGAAUCAAUAGGAGCUUGCUCCUGUUGGUUAGCGGCGGACGGGUGAGUAACACGUGGGCAACCUGCCUGUAGGACUGGGAUAACAUCGGGAAACCGAUGCUAAUACCGGAUAAUUCAUUCCCUCUCAUGAGGGAAUGUUGAAAGUCGGUUUCGGCUGACACUUACAGAUGGUCCCGCGGCGCAUUAGCUAGUUGGUGAGGUAACGGCUCACCAAGGCGACGAUGCGUAGCCGACCUGAGAGGGUGAUCGGCCACACUGGGACUGAGACACGGCCCAGACUCCUACGGGAGGCAGCAGUAGGGAAUCUUCCACAAUGGACGAAAGUCUGAUGGAGCAACGCCGCGUGAGCGAUGAAGGCCUUCGGGUCGUAAAGCUCUGUUGUUAGGGAAGAACAUGUACCGGAGUAACUGCCGGUACCUUGACGGUACCUAACCAGAAAGCCACGGCUAACUACGUGCCAGCCGCCGCAGUAA